UACGUAGGUGGCAAGCGUUGUCCGGAAUUAUUGGGCGUAAAGCGCGCGCAGGCGGUCCUUUAAGUCUGAUGUGAAAGCCCACGGCUCAACCGUGGAGGGUCAUUGGAAACUGGGGGACUUGAGUACAGGAGAGAAGAGUGGAAUUCCACGUGUAGCGGUGAAAUGCGUAGAGAUGUGGAGGAACACCAGUGGCGAAGGCGACUCUUUGGCCUGUAACUGACGCUGAGGCGCGAAAGCGUGGGGAGCGAACAGG
rnacentral:rRNA from 1 species